rnacentral:piRNA from 1 species
UCUCAGCCUAUGGUCUGUAUCCCUGGUGU